AACGAACGCUGGCGGCAUGCCUAACACAUGCAAGUCGAACGAGACCUUCGGGUCUAGUGGCGCACGGGUGCGUAACGCGUGGGAACCUGCCCUUAGGUUCGGAAUAACUCACCGAAAGGGGUGCUAAUACCGGAUAAUGUCUUCGGACCAAAGAUUUAUCGCCUUUGGAUGGGCCCGCGUUGGAUUAGCUAGUUGGUAGGGUAAAAGCCUACCAAGGCGACGAUCCAUAGCUGGUCUGAGAGGAUGAUCAGCCACACUGGGACUGAGACACGGCCCAGACUCCUACGGGAGGCAGCAGUGGGGAAUAUUGGACAAGGGGCGAAAGACUGAGCCAGCAAUGCCGCGUGAGUGAUGAAGGCCUUAGGGUUGUAAAGCUCUUUUAACCGGGAUGAUAAUGACAGUACCGGGAGAAUAAGCGCCGGCUAACUCCGUG
rnacentral:rRNA from 1 species